CGAACGCUGGCGGCGUGCUUAACACAUGCAAGUCGAACGGAAAGGCCCUGCUUUUGUGGGGUGCUCGGGUGGCGAACGGGUGAGUAACACGUGAGUAACCUGCCCUUGACUUUGGGAUAACUUCAGGAAACUGGGGCUAAUACCGGAUAGGAGCUCCUGCUGCAUGGUGGGGGUUGGAAAGUUUCGGCGGUUGGGGAUGGACUCGCGGCUUAUCAGCUUGUUGGUGGGGUAGUGGCUUACCAAGGCUUUGACGGGUAGCCGGCCUGAGAGGGUGACCGGCCACAUUGGGACUGAGAUACGGCCCAGACUCCUACGGGAGGCAGCAGUGGGGAAUAUUGCACAAUGGGCGGAAGCCUGAUGCAGCAACGCCGCGUGCGGGAUGACGGCCUUCGGGUUGUAAACCGCUUUCGCCUGUGACGAAGCGUGAGUGACGGUAAUGGGUAAAGAAGCACCGGCUAACUACGUG
rnacentral:rRNA from 1 species